AUGUUUCCCAUUGACCUGGGUCAGUGUUGGUGCACUGAUGGUGCGUUACCGUCGGGCCUUCUUCAUUGUACAAUUUUCUAUUGGGCUGCGAUGGUGCCGGUGGAUCUUGGGUUCUUGAUUCUUUCAGUGGGAUUUGUCUUGCCGUACUGUUAUGGUUGGGUAGCUAUUGUAGUUGUUGUUCCUUGGCAAGGGGUGCUUGUUGCGCUGUUAUCUGGAUUGUUGGGGAAUGCUUGCGUUUUUAGCCUGCACAGAUUCUUGAUUUUGGUAAAUAGCCAGGGGAACAAGUUGUUGGUUUUAGCAGGCAGCCAUUAG
rnacentral:rRNA from 1 species